UAAAAUCUUAUUUCCAGAUCUUGUUAACUUAUUUUUUGAUGAAGAACACCCUUCAUCUUCACUUUUUGGCAAAGUGACAGCCAUUAACGGGUUUGAUUUGUCUUUACCGGUCACCGUUUGAACCGGACUAGCUGUACCAACAUCCGGUACAGUGGAUUUCUGAGCAUUUAGUGGGAAAUGCACACCCUUCUCAUCCAUUUUUUGAGGAGAUGGAGAACUCUGAGUCUGAGUCUGUGUUUUUGCAUCCGUCUUGCUUACAUUUGUCUGCUGGUUGAGUCUUGCUUCUAAUAAUUGUAUCU
rnacentral:lncRNA from 1 species